AGUGGGGGGCUUGGAUGGGGAUAGCCAGUCUCUGAAGUUUGGGGGGCAUGUAGGGGGCCCACAUUCUCCUGGCCCUGCUCCCCAAGCCCGGGGCAGGGGCUCCAUCUCACUGGGUUUGUUGUCCCCCCCACAGGAGAAGCUGCUGUGUCAGGAGUUGGGGGCCUCAGGGUCAAGGGGGCGACUCCCCCCUAGGCUGCGGCUGGCCGGGCUGCUCUUCUGGGGCCUGGCCAAGGGCCUGUUCCUGGCCCUGCUGGGCACCCUGGUGCUGUGCCCCGUCCGCGUCCUGCUGUCGCGCCAGCCACACCCUCCGCCUGCCGGGCCCCAGCUCUGCGACUGCCUGUGCCCCAAGGAGACGCUGCCCCCCUGAGCCACGCGGGGCUAAUAAACAAAUAACCACAGGGA